rnacentral:lncRNA from 1 species
UUCCCAACAAAGUUAAGGUCUUUUUGUGGAGGACUGCUCAGGGAUGCCUGCCCACGAGAUGUAAUUUGCAGUUUUGCGGUGUUUCUUGUUCAGGUAUUUGCCUUUUUUGUGUUAAUAUUCUGGAAAAUGAAUGGCACUACUUUGUGGGUUGUGUAAGAGUCAUUUCUGUAUGAAAAAAAAAGCUGGUUUGUGAGACACUAUCCAGGUCCAUAUGCAAAAUUCUGAUAGUUUUACUGAUAUGAUUUUUAGACUUGUUCAAAGUCUCCCCAAAGAUGUGUUGAACAAAAUAGCUAUGUUGUUGUGGGCAAUUUGGUGGACCAUAAAUUUUGAAGGUAUUUUGCACUGUGUCGGUCUUGACAUGUGUUUGUGAGACGAGUUGAAUCAGUUCAUCUUAGUCAGGACCAUAAAUUUUGAAGUUAUUUUGCAGCCUGUUGAAGCUGAUGCAAUGGCUCUUUGCAAGGCCAUGAGCUGGGUUCAUGACAGGUUAUUUUUUAAUCCGAUUGUAAAACUCUCAUUGAUGGUUAUAAUCCUUAUUGUACAGCACAAUCAGAAUCAGAAGUGGGUUCUACUAUUAUGAAUAAUCCAACCACGCCAUGGAAUACCUAAUCCCACUAAAUCAGGAUCCAAGAUUUCCUCCUUGUAAGUUGUAACAUGUGCCAAAUAUUAAAUGCAAUCUCUCUCCUAAUCAA